rnacentral:piRNA from 1 species
UGAUCGUGACCUUUCCCGCCUUGACC